rnacentral:rRNA from 1 species
AGAGUUUGUAGUCCUGGCUCACGAUUGAACGACUAGCGGGAGUGCUUUACACAUGCAAGUCGAACGGCAGCGCGAGAGAGCUUGCUCUCUUGGCGGCGAGUGGCGGACGGGUGAGUAAUAUAUCGGAACGUAGCCCAGUAGCGGGGGAGUAACUAACUCGAAAGAGUGGCUAAUACCGCAUACGCCCUCGGGAAAAGGGGGGGAGUCGGCAAGACCUCUCACUAUUGGAGCGGCCGAUAUCGGAUUAGCUAGUUGGUGGGGUAAAGGGCUCACCAAGGCAACGAUCCGUAGCUGGUUUGAGAGGACGACCAGCCACACUGGGACUGAGACACGGCCCAGACUCCUACGGGAGGCAGCAGUGGGGAAUUUUGGACAAUGGGGGAAACCCUGAUCCAGCCAUCCCACGUGUAUGAUGAAGGCCUUCGGGUUGUAAAGUACUUUUGGCAGAGAAGAAAAGGUAUCCCCUAAUACGGGGUACUGCUGACGGUAUCUGCAGAAUAAGCACCGGCUAACUACGUG